rnacentral:rRNA from 1 species
UGGGGAAUAUUGCGCAAUGGGGGAAACCCCGACGCAGCAACACCGCGUGGAGGAAGAAGGCCUUCGGGUUGUAAACUCCUGUCAGUUGGGAAAAAUAUCUGGAGGGUGAACAAUCCUUCAGGUUUGAUUGUACCAGCAGAGGAAGCCCCGGCUGACUACGUGCCAGCAGCCGCGGUAAAACGUAGGGGGCCAGCGUUACUCGGAAUUACUGGGCGUAAAGGGUGCGUAGGCGGCAUGGCAAGUCUCUGGUGAAAUCCCUUGGCUUAACCAAGGAAGGGCCGGAGAUACUGCUUUGCUUGAGUCCGGUAGAGGGAAGUGGAAUUCCCGGUGUAGCGGUGAAAUGCGUAGAUAUCAGGAGGAAGGCCGGUGGCGAAGGCGGCCCUCUGGUACUGGACUGACGCUGAGGCGCGAAAGCGUGGGGAGCGAACAGGAUUAGAUACCCUGGUAGUCCACGCCCUAAACGGUGGGCACUAGGUGUAGGGCUCGUAAGGGUUCUGUGCCGAAGGGAAACCAUUAAGUGCCCCGCCUGGGGAGUACGGCCGCAAGGUUG